GACGAACGCUGGCGGCGUGCUUAACACAUGCAAGUCGAACGAAGAGCGAUGGAAGCUUGCUUCUAUCAAUCUUAGUGGCGAACGGGUGAGUAACGCGUAAUCAACCUGCCCUUCAGAGGGGGACAACAGUUGGAAACGACUGCUAAUACCGCAUACGAUCCAAUCUCGGCAUCGGGACUGGAUGAAAGGUGGCCUCUAUUUAUAAGCUAUCACUGAAGGAGGGGAUUGCGUCUGAUUAGCUAGUUGGAGGGGUAACGGCCCACCAAGGCGAUGAUCAGUAGCCGGUCUGAGAGGAUGAACGGCCACAUUGGGACUGAGACACGGCCCAGACUCCUACGGGAGGCAGCAGUGGGGAAUCUUCCGCAAUGGACGAAAGUCUGACGGAGCAACGCCGCGGGAGUGAUGACGGCCUUCGGGUUGUAAAGCUCUGUUAAUCGGGACGAAUGGUUCUUGUGCGAAUAGGGCGAGGAUUUGACGGUACCGGAAUAGAAAGCCACGGCUAACUACGUG
rnacentral:rRNA from 1 species